AAUGAACGCUGGCGGUAUGCCUAACACAUGCAAGUCGAACGGCAGCACAGUAAGAGCUUGCUCUUACGGGUGGCGAGUGGCAGUCGGGUGAGAAACACAUCAGACUCUACUUUUUCGGGGGUUAUAACGUAGGAAACCUUACUCUAAUCCCGCAUACGACCUACGUGUGCAGGCAGGGGAUCUUCGGACCUUUCCCUAUUGAAUGAGCCGAUGUCGGAUUAGCUAGUUGGCGGGGUAAAGGCCCACCAAGGCGACGAUCCGUAGCUGGUCUGAGAGGAUGAUCAGCCACACUGGAACUGAGACACGGUCCAGACUCCUACGGGAGGCAGCAGUGGGGAAUAUUGGACAAUGGGCGCAAGCCUGAUCCAGCCAUACCGCGUGGGUGAAGAAGGCCUUCGGGUUGUAAAGCACUUUUGUUGGGAAAGAAAAGCAGCAGGUUAAUACCCCGCUGUUCUGACGGUACCCAAAGAAUAAGCAACGGCUAACUUCGUG
rnacentral:rRNA from 1 species